rnacentral:rRNA from 1 species
UACGUAGGGGGCAAGCGUUGUCCGGAAUCAUUGGGCGUAAAGCGCGUGUAGGCGGCCUGGUAAGUCCGCUGUGAAAGUCCAGGGCUCAACCCUGGGAUGCCGGUGGAUACUGUCGGGCUCGAGUCCGGAAGAGGCGAGUGGAAUUCCUGGUGUAGCGGUGAAAUGCGCAGAUAUCAGGAGGAACACCAAUGGCGAAGGCAGCUCGCUGGGACGUGACUGACGCUGAGACGCGAAAGCGUGGGGAGCAAACAGG